GGGGACUUAGCUCAGUGGGAGAGCGCUUGUCUAGCAAGCGCAAGGCCCUGGGUUCAGUCCCCA
rnacentral:tRNA from 1 species